UUGAUUGGCCUGGAGACUGAAGUUCUCUGUGUACAUGAUAACAGAAUGGUGCAAGGUCUGCCGUAUUGCUUGGCUAAUGGACCUCAACUCUAACCUGGGGCAAAUGUCUCUGUGGGUGAGAGGGUAGUUCAGGCUCCGUGUACAUUCAGUCCUUCCUUGGG
ensembl:misc_RNA